CAACACACAAUGCGGACGCGAGGUACGACACACCCAGCCAUUUCCCCCGCAAAAUCACAUAGUCCCGGACUGGAGUAGGUCGAAAGGACGCAGUUUUGUUGCUAGUACAUCAACGAUUCAUUUCUGUGGCGUUUAUCUUGGCUGGCAUUUCCCCAGAACGGAACGGGGUUGCAUCUCCCCAAACUAAAUGGCCUCGUUCUCGCCCCGCCACGGUAGGGGAUGCCCGUGUCGUGUGUUCCAAUGCCGCGAGAAUCGGAGGCAGGCAGGGGCAGGGGCAUGGGGGUUCAGGUUGUAACCACUACAGCGACAAACUAUGUCAGUUGCAGUAGCAAACUGCAUCAUGCCAAUUUUGCAUACCAUGUCGCCUAUAAUGCUGCCUAACAAUAUCACUUUUUUUUUUGUAUACCAUGUGCACUGCACACACCAUGUUAGGCAGCAAUUGCGUUAAUAACUUCAAUCAACAAGGUGAUUUAGGAGUACAUACACAACAGCUGGUGAGCUGUUUUAUGAACUGUCACUACUACUUAUUCCAGUGAGUGAGGUCUUAGUUCGAUCCUGCUAGCUCAGCCCCCCUCUGAAUUCAAUAUGUUAACUGUCUGAGUUGCCAAAGCUUUUGGAUCAUGCUUAUUUUGUUUUUCUGAAUCUGUGGCUAUACGUGGGAAUGAGCUGCAGUCUUACAGUGAGAACUUCCGAUUUAUCAGAGUAGGCCAUAAUUUUGCCAUGUAUGUUUAGCACCACUUUUGUCGGUGAACCUGAAUCCACAGUUAUUAUAAGCUUUCAUCACUUCUGUACAACCUAAGGCAAUCAUGGGAAGAAUAACUAAACAACACAGGCAUGGGACAUACCAAGUCCCAGGCAGCAACACCCUAGGGCCAUUAGCCCUGGCCUUUGCCCACAACCUCACUUCCUCUUUGACCCUGCCAUGAUAGCAUGCACAAAGCGGCCCUCAACUACGAAAGCACCUCAAACCAAAUCUGUUGUGCCAAGGGACAGUCAACUAACAGGUGUUGCAUAGUCUCCUGACGCUGAUCACAAAAGAAGCCUGAAGAGCCACUCUCUCGGCAGUUGCAACAGUCCGUGGUGGCGAGCCUCUGAGGAGCUCCAAGCUUCCAAGAGGCAGAGCAGGAGGCGCCAAGGAAGGCGGUGGUGUAGCGUCAACUAUCAAGAACUGGGUACAUUGCCGGGUACAUGAAGAUGCCCAACACACCUCGCUUGUCAGCGAUGUGCCUACGGAGCCUCCCGAACCCCCCCUCACCCCAAUUCUCUCCAGCUGAGUUUUUGAAGCGCCAGAACUUGACACCGUUGGAGUCCGUGUCAUAACUCACAAUCAGCACGUAAUGCAAAAACAGCUCUUCGCCAGGUAGAGCUGGUGGCGAAUCAAUGAUGCCUCCCUUGUAUUCGUUGAAGCUCUUGGGGCACUGUAGACGCACAAUGACCGGCUGACGUGCCACUGCCUCCUCCAGAGAUUGUUCUGUCGGGCUCAUGAUUUUGACAAAGCCUGAUAUCUUGGCCGCUACUUCCUUGUUCUUCUUGCAGCCUAGAAUGCGUUCUCGGUCCAUGUACGGGUACGUUGAUUCGCUCGACAGUCCGUGCUUCUGUACAUACUCCAGAGCAGUCUCGCUGUAGCCACCCCUGCACCCGAAGUUCUCUGUGUCGCAAUCAAUCAACUCUUGUACCGACAGCAUAAGUUUCUCAUUUGUCUUCAUAUAAUGCAGAGCCUCAACAGCAGCUACAACCGCCAUUGCCCAACAACAAUCUGCCACAAGGAGUUAAAAAUCAAUUGAGACGCUUAGCACAAUAAUGACAAACUAGUAAUAAAUAAUCAAGAUCGAGAUGUUUACCACAAUGGACUUGUGUCCUCACUGUACGGGAGACGACGCCAGCCUCAACCCAGUCAACUCUCGACGGUCGUAAUUGUAGCUUAUCAAUGCAAGGCGAUGAGGCGUCAAGAGCACUGGGUAAAGAGCUGGUGACACGGCUGGUCAUACAACGAACUGAAAUUCUGAUAGCGGCAAAUGAAGCCAUCACAAUGACGAG
rnacentral:lncRNA from 1 species